rnacentral:lncRNA from 1 species
GAAAGCCCAAAAGAUCUCAUUUAUUUUCUUUCUUUUUUCUUUUUAUGCCUUCAAUUUUCAUGCAUUUAUUAAAAUAUCACCCCAAAAUUCAUUCCUCAAAUAUUUCCUAACUCCCCCACUCUAUUCUCCAUUAUUUAUGAUUUAUCCGCUGUGGUAAUUUUGGAUAUUUAAUUUCUCAACAUGAUCUGAAGAAUUUACCCUAUUAUUUAUUUACUUUCGGUAAAACGACGUCAUAUCAUAUGACUCUUGUCGCCCCACAACGCGGAAAAAGGGAAACAUCUCUUUUCAAAACUGAAAGUCUUUCCUCGGGACAGCUGUGCAAACGGAAAGCUAUUAAGAAAACCCACUCUCAUUCUCUACGCGCCCUCUCUCCGGUUUCCAAACUCUGUCCUUCACCCGUACAACGACGAUUAUUCGGAGCUCCUGCACGUGACUGUCUCGAGGUGGUUCAUGAUCCACCCUCCCAGACACCUCUUCGCUCUGCCAAACCAGACCAGAAACUGCAAAUCUGAAACCCAUGUCUUCUUAUAUAUUAUUUUUAGUGUUUUGUAAUUCUUAACCUUAAUGUAUAUCGGUAUUAUUCGAUGGAAUCGCACAGGCAAAACGGUGCGUUUCUGUCUGCAAAUGGGCAUUGUUUAAGCUUUUUUUUUUUUUUUUUUUUUUUUUUUUUUUCUCUCUUUAAUCAACAAUUCUGCAGGUUUUCUUUUGUAAAUUAGAUUGUUGCAUUUGUCCAUACAUGAAACGGGGAAAAAGAAGGGAGCGAAAGAGUGGUCUCAAACUUGGG